rnacentral:rRNA from 1 species
UACAGAGGGUGCGAGCGUUGUCCGGAAUCACUGGGCGUAAAGCGCACGUAGGCGGAUCUUUAAGUCAGGGGUGAAAUCCUGGAGCUCAACUCCAGAACUGCCUUUGAUACUGGGGAGUCUCGAGUCCGGGAGAGGUGAGUGGAACUGCGAGUGUAGAGGUGAAAUUCGUAGAUAUUCGCAAGAACACCAGUGGCGAAGGCGGCUCACUGGCCCGGUACUGACGCUGAGGUGCGAAAGCGUGGGGAGCAAACAGGG